AAGAAUAUCAAACUCCGAAUGCCGCGUAAUCGAUUAUCGGGAGUCAGACUGCACGAGAUAAGUUGGGCGGUCAAAAGGGAAAGAGCCCAGACCUUCAGUUAAGGUCCCCAAGUGCGCGUUAAGUGGAAAAGGAUGUGGGAUUUCGAAGACAACCAGGAUGUUGGCUCAGAAGCAGCCAUCCAUUCAAAGAGUGCGUAAUAGCUCACUGGUCGAGAGGUCCUGCGCCGAAAAUGUCCGGGGCUGAAACGCGCCACCGAAACUAAGGAACCGAAAGGUUGGUAGAGGAGCAUUGCAUGCGGGAAGAAGCAGUACCGAAAGGAGCUGUGGACUGCAUGGAAGAGAGAAUGCCGGAAUGAGUAGCGAGAAUAAGGUGAGAAUCCUUAUGGCCGAAUAUCCAAGGUUUCCAGAGUAAAGCUGAUCUGCUCUGGGUAAGUCGGGGCCUAAGGCGAGGACGAGAGUCGUAGCCGAUGGACAACAGGUGGAGAUUCCUGUACUGCGGUAUGACAGAACUGUGGGGACACGUAAGGAAAGCGGAAGCCGGGAAUGGAAAGCCCGGUGCAAGCGGGGUACCAGUCACUUUGGCAAAUCCGGGUGGCAAUGGGAAGCCGUGAUGCGGAGCGAAAUAAAGUAGUGAAGUCCGUGAGCCAUGCGUCAAGAAAAGCCGCUAUUGUUUAUACCGUACCCGUACCGUAAACCGACACAGGUGGAUGAGGAGAGAAUCCUAAGGCCGGCGGAAGAAGCAUUGUCAAGGAACUCGGCAAAAUGGCCCCGUAACUUAGGGAUAAGGGGUGCCUGGGAAACCAGGCCGCAGAGAAUAGGCUCAAGCAACUGUUUAGCAAAAACACAGGUCUAUGCGAAACCGAAAGGUGAGGUAUAUGGGCUGACGCCUGCCCGGUGCUGGAAGGUUAAGAGGAGAGGUUAGCGGUAACGCGAAGCUUUGAAUUUAAGCCCCAGUAAACGGCGGCCGUAACUAUAACGGUCCUAAGGUAGCGAAAUUCCUUGUCGGGUAAGUUCCGACCCGCACGAAAGGCGUAAUGAUUUGAGCGCUGUCUCGACAAUGCAUCCGGUGAAAUUGAAGUACCAGUGAAGAUGCUGGUUACCUGCGCCAGGACGGAAAGACCCCAUGGAGCUUUACUCCAGUCUGGUACUGGGACUCGGUAUUGCAUGUACAGGAUAGGUGGGAGGCUAGGAGAUGGUAACGCCAGUUGCCAUGGAGCCGCUGUUGGGAUACCACCCUUGCAGUAUUGGGUUUCUAACCAGCCGCCGUGACCCGGCGGUGGGACAAUGCCAGACGGGGAGUUUGACUGGGGCGGUCGCCUCCGAAAGGGUAUCGGAGGCGCCCAAAGGUUCCCUCAGAAUGGACGGAAACCAUUCGAAGAGUGCAAAGGCAGAAGGGAGCUUGACUGCGACACCGACGGGUGGAGCAGGUACGAAAGUAGGGCUUAGUGAUCCGGUGGUAUUAAGUGGGAAUGCCAUCGCUCAACGGAUAAAAGCUACCCUGGGGAUAACAG
rnacentral:rRNA from 1 species